AUUUUGUGAAUAUUUUCUCUGCAUUAAAAAAUGUGUCGGCGAUAUUCAGUGGCGCACAGUGGGUUGUUUGAUAUCAGACAGAAUGGGUCAGGAGAGGAACCGCAGACCCGUCAGAACCUAAAGAACCAGACAUCAGUCUCUUCAUCCCUCAGUCAUUU